rnacentral:rRNA from 1 species
CAAUAGCGUAUAUUUAAGUUGUUGCAGUUAAAAAGCUCGUAGUUGGAUUUCGGAUGGGAUUUGCCGGUCCGUCGUUACGAUGUGCACUGGCCAGUCCUAUCUUGUUGUCGGGGACUAGCUCCUUGGAUUCACUUCCUGGGACUAGGAGCUGACGAGGUUACUUUGAGUAAAUUAGAGUGUUCAAAGCAAGCCUACGCUCUGAAUACAUUAGCAUGGAAUAACACGAUAGGACUCUGGCUUAUCUUGUUGGUCUGUGAGACCAGAGUAAUGAUUAAGAGGGACAGUCGGGGACAUUCGUAUUUCAGUGUCAGAGGUGAAAUUCUUGGAUUUAUGAAAGACGAACUUCUGCGAAAGCAUUUGUCAAGGAUGUUUUCAUUAA